AUUGAACGCUGGCGGCACGCUUAACACAUGCAAGUCGAACGGUAGCAGGCAUUUACUUCGGUAUUUGUGCUGACGAGUGGCGGACGGGUGAGGAACACGUAGGAAUUUGCCCUAAAGUGAGGAAUAACCCGGGGAAACUCGGGCUAAUACCACUAAAGCUCUACGGAGCAAAGCCGGGGAUUUCUCUUUAAGCUCUUUAUAUAUAGAGACCUUAAAGAGAAACCUGGCGCUUUAGGAGAAGCCUGCGUCGGAUUAGCUUGUUGGUGAGGUAAAGGCUCACCAAGGCUACGAUCCGUAGCUGGUCUGAGGGGAUGACCAGCCACACUGGGACUGAGACACGGCCCAG
rnacentral:rRNA from 1 species